CAUGAUUAAAUCGUGUUCAUCAUCCUAAAAGAAGAGGUGAGGUCGUCUUCUUCGCUCGGGAACCCUAGGUCCAUGCCUGAGAGAGCAAGACCUCCAUGGCUGGACUUCUCCGCGGCUCGUCGCUGCUCCUACGUCACCUUUGCCGCAAGGACAACAUGAUCGCCAGCCUUCAAGUACUUCUUGGAGGCUGAAGAAUGGUGUGUGGAAGCUGGUUUAGAGCGUAAGGCUCUGAUACCAUGUAAAAAUAUGGCUUGAUGGAAAGCUGGGCGGAGGAAAAUUGGACAAAAUGUGUAUAUUGCUUUAUCAUACUGAAAACUAUAUGAGUACAUCCCUAUUUAUAAUACAUGGAGCCUAAUUAAUCCAGGAAUGAAAUAUACAGAAAAAUCAAGUGCCUGAUGUACAGUAUGCCAAUACAUUAAUAAAGGGCAAUCGUAUCAAUUUAUGAUAUCAACAAUAUUUUCAUCAUA